AAUGGCAUAACUAAUUAACAGUAAUUAUAAGUUCAGAAUGUUGGUGUUCUUAGUGACUGAAUCUCAAGUCCUUCAUCUGAGUAACAGAAUGAACAUGAAUAAAAAGCAUAUUUUAAAAAUAUCAUGACAAAUUUAAUUUAUAUUUUUGUAACAAUCAACAACUUCCAGUCAGAGAAUAUAAAUGAAAAUGAAAGACAGCAGUGACAAUAGAAACACUGUUCAUGUUUUGACAUUUUGUUUGUGAUAUUUUGAAUCGUGUUCUUAGGUAUAUAAAGGUGCUUUCACACUUGGUUCGCUUGCCUGGUCCGAAUCCGAGUUCGAUUGCUCCCCCCUUCCCCUUCCCCCGCUGGACUAAAUCAUAUUAUUUAUUUGGCUCCGAAACCGCGGUUUGUUUGCGUCAUCAAGCCAGCAGCUGUUUACCCCGUUGCUUAGUAACAGCGGCGCAGGAAAAGGUGACAAAUGCAAAACAUUGCUCUCUUCACUUUUAUAUAUUCAUGUUUUUGAACCGUUCGUUUUGUUUACAAAGCUUCGGUACAUAACGGCACUUGCGUCUGUCUUAUCAAUGUACUGCAAAUGAUCUAAAGAAUGCUGAAGGCGAACAGAAAUUAGAUGUACAGCUAUCUGUUUGCAGCACGUCAGUCACACUCGUCAGGAAAUCACAUCGGUGCCAGUAACAGAUGCUAGUAUAUCAGAUGACUCAAGUUUUAAAUGUUGGUGUCCUGAGAUUUUCAGUCCAAACCAGAGACUGAUGACAUGCGGGGCAAGAUGGAGUGAGAGAACAGAUGAUGACGUGUUACCUGAAAGAAAGACCUCCAGAAGCUCUAUCAAUUCAACUGACUCAGGAUAUGCUUCAAGAAAAUGCACUGGCAUUUUCCCCAUCCCCGAAAUUGAUUAAUAGAAUAAACUAAAUAAUGGUGUUACUUCAAAUAAGACCAGCAGACAUAAACCACCACUAAAAUGCAAUUGUCCCCUCCAGUUGCCACUCCAGAUAUCUCAACCGCAAUUCAGAAGAAAUCAUUUACACAGAUCACUUCCACACUCAGAACAGUCAUUCAGAACAGUUUCUCAAUCAGAAAACAUUAAUGAGCUACUUUACAAUGAUCAGAUUGAAAUUCAAUCAGGAACAUUCAUUAUAUUAUCCAUUAAUCAUAAAUAUUUCAGUUUAUCUUAAUUAAUGAUGCUAAGCAUAUAUAAAUAUUGGUCACUGCUAUUAAAGUUUAUCAAGGGUUGUCAGUAUAAAAUCUGUGAAGAGCACACUAACUAUUUUGCAUUUAAAACUGGAGUUGAUA